rnacentral:rRNA from 1 species
CCUCGGGCUUGGUUAGUACUUGGAUGGGUGACCGCUUGGGAAUACCAAGUGUGUUAAGCA